GAAGAAGUAAAGCAUAGCACACCUACCAAUCCACUUCCAUAAAAUAAGAUUCCACAAAAAUCACAUAGGUUUAAUACAAUGAACAAAUACCAUCUAGAGUAGCCGAUGAAGGCCUAAACAAACAAUGUUGAUACCAAUUCACAAGGAUAUUAAAAUUACUACAAAAGGUUACCCGGUUACUCUCCAACCUUAGACCCCCAUCCUAAGAACUAUGGGAAAAAAUUUACCAACUUCAGAAAAAUACUUUGAUUAAAGGUUAAUUGCUUUAGCAAGGUAAAUUUUCACUCACCAUCCGUGAACAAUGCCGUCCCUAAACAUCAUUUUGUA
rnacentral:misc_RNA from 1 species